GNAGGGGGCAAGCGNCAUCCGGAUNUACUGGGUGUAAAGGGAGCGUAGACGGUGAGACAAGUCUGAAGUGAAAUCCCGGGGCUCAACCCCGGAACNGCUNUGGAAACUGCCUGACUAGAGUGCAGGAGAGGUAAGUGGAAUUCCUAGUGUAGCGGUGAAAUGCGUAGAUAUUAGGAGGAACACCAGUGGCGAAGGCGGCUUACUGGACUGUAACUGACGUUGAGGCUCGAAAGCGUGGGGAGCAAACAGGAUUAGAUACCCUGGUAGUCCACGCGGUAAACGAUGAUUACUAGGUGUCGGGGGUUUAUAAACCUUCGGUGCCGCCGCAAACGCAAUAAGUAAUCUACCUGGGGAGU
rnacentral:rRNA from 1 species